AGGAUGAACGCUGGCGGCGUGCUUAACACAUGCAAGUCGAACGUGAUCCAGCAGCAAUGCUGGUGAAAGUGGCAAACGGGUGAGUAACACGUAGAUACCUGCCUCGCAGUGGGGGGAUAACCACGGGAAACUGUGGCUAAUACCGCAUGGUCUUGAAUAAGCGGGAGCUUGAACAAGUAAAGCUUUAGUGCUGCGAGAGGGGUCUGCGCCCGAUUAGCUAGUUGGUGAGGUAAAGGCUCACCAAGGCUUGGAUCGGUAGCUGGCCUGAGAGGACGAUCAGCCACACGGGAACUGAGACACGGUCCCGACUCCUACGGGGGGCAGCAGUGAGGAAUAUUGGGCAAUGGACGCAAGUCUGACCCAGCAACGCCGCGUGGAGGACGAAGGCUUUCGGUUGUAAACUCCGUUUUAAGUGGGGAAAAGCGAAGGAUGGUAACCCCAGGAAUAAGUCACGGCUAACUACGUGCCAGCAGCCGC
rnacentral:rRNA from 1 species